AACCCGCACACCGAAAAACUAAGGUUUCCACAGCUAUGCUAAUCAGCUGUGGGUUAGUCGGGUCCUAAGGCGAACCCGAAAGGGACAGCUCGAUGGCCAACGGGUUAAUAUUCCCGUACUACUUAUCAUUGUGAUGGAAUGACGGAGUGAUGAAAGCACCGCGAACUGACGGAAUAGUUCGUUAAAGUACCUAGCUAUAGAAUCUAUAGGCAAAUCCGUAGAUUUUGGUGAAAUACGAUAGUACUCGGAGGCUUCGGCCAAUGGGAUAGUGUGCCUAAGGGCUUCCAAGAAAAGUUUCUAAACUUAGAUGAUAAGUACCCGUACCGUAAACCGACACAGGUAGUUGAGGAGAGAAUCCUAAGGUGCUCGAGUGAUUCAUGGCUAAGGAACUAGGCAAAAUAGACCUGUAACUUCGGGAGAAAAGGUCGCCAGCAGCAAUGCUGGCCGCAGUGAAAAAGGACUUUGGGCUCUUGGUGAAAUGUCUUGGAAGACCCGGCGCAA
rnacentral:rRNA from 1 species